rnacentral:other from 1 species
AUUUCCACUGCUGCUCCGAGGGCAACGUAUCUUCAGCAGGACUUGGAAUUUCUGGAGAAUUGCCUUUGUGAAAAGCUGGCAAUACUUCCUUUGAAUUCCAUCUCUUAGUUUUCCACGUAAGUAUUCAUCCUUGCUGCAGGUUAAUCUUGUUAAGAUUUACUAAGUAGUG